ensembl:lncRNA
CGAGUGUGAUAACGGGGGGAAAUUUCACGUAGGCGUGCGUGUGUGGAUGUUAUUAGAAUAUGUGUCAUGUCUGCGUCUGUGUGUGUGUGCGUAGAUCAAUACAAUUAUAAUUUUAGACAUAACAUGUCUUAUGUGUUAUGUGGAGCUUAUCCAAGGAAUACUUCCAGGUGGAGUCUUAAGGAGAGGUGGGGGACGUGAUGGUCUUCUCCAGGAUCAGAGGACGCCACAGCGGAUGCAGAUGUGGUUUAGACAUGCUCCAGCAGAUGUCCACAGAUGAUAGGAUGUGGACAUGCCAGGAUUGGGUCCCCCAUAGAAACGAAAGGAAAACAAAGAGGAGGCGCUGGGCUACGGCUGAGGAUGUGGGCUGCGGUCACAGCAUUUAGUUUGUCGUUAAGUACAGUAGGGUGGCAUCCUUAAUAAGAGCUGCGGUUUCAUCUUCUGUUCCGAACAGAAGGCAGUUUCGCUUUCACUGUCUUCCGCAAAUAAGAUCUCUACACAUCAACGUGUAAAUCCUGACUGUACCACCAGACUAGAAUGAGCCAUGCCAUCUGCUGAGAAGCAUCGUGAUCCAGGGGGAAUAAGGGGAAUUUUACCAAAAUACAAAGUGGUUUUACUAGACUCAUGACUGGCACAAACACAUAAACAACCACGUGUGUGUGUGUGUGUGUGUGUGUGUGUGUGUGUGUGUGUGUGUGUGUGUGUGUGUGUGUGUGUGUGUGUGUGUGUGUGUGUGUGUGUGUGUGUGUGUGUGUGUGUGUGUGUGUGUGUGUGUGUGCAUAUUCUUAAUAUAUUAUAUAAAGAUAUAUUAUAGAUCGAAUGUAUAUGCAGAUAAUCCUCAUACACACCAGGUAGGCUUGUGAUAUCCCAGCAGCAUUUUAGUGUGGAUCAAAAUAGCUUCUGUCUGUAGAAUAAUGAUGAGUAAUGAUGACAUUUUUGGGUUAGGCUAAAUUAAAUCAAAUGUCAUGGGUUGCUUGGCUAAUUCUUGGUCACGUGCAAAAAACAUGAGUCAGACUAAAAGUUGAUGUUUCUACAGGAAUUUGCUCAUUUUAUUUGACAUUCUGAGAUUUGUGCUCUUUGACAAGAGACCUUGGAGUGCUGCUUACUGAUGGCGGUCUGGACUGUAAACAAAUGUACUGAAGUAAAGUAUUGGUCAAAUGAAUAAAUUCCCUUUUCCAGUACUGAAUCGAUUAAAAAAACCCGAUAUAUAUUCUGGAAAAUUGUUUUGUUCCAAUCAUCCAUACACUGGAUCCAUUUUUCAGUUUUUAGCUUUAUAAAAGUGAUACAAAUAAUUCUUUUUUUGAACUAAGAUUCAUUGGCUUUGGCUCAUUUUCUGUGAGGAACAUGAAUCAGAAACCAUUUUCAAUGACCCCCCCCUGUAUACCCCCCCAUCACAUUUGUAUUACACACAGGGUGUUCGGGUCCUCUCUGUGUGUGUGUGUGUGUGUGUGUGUGUGUGUGUGUGUGUGUGUGUGUGUGUGUGUGUGUGUGUGUGUGUGUGUGUGUGUGUGUGUGGGUGUGGGUGUGUGUGUGUGUGUGUGUGUGAGAGGGGGAAAGAGAGAGGGGGAAAGAGUAAAGCAGGUGAAUGGGCCCUUGGUGUGAGCACCCACAGUGUGCACCCACUGUUCCCGCACAAGGUUGCAAUAUUGGAGCACCCAACACUAUCAAGCUUGGGGACCUGACACUAUAAAAAAGCUCUGUCAGCGUGGUUCCAUACCACAACUGAUCAAGAUGGCAAAGCGAUUCUCUGUUCAGACUGCCCUACAGUUGAUAUUUGAAGAGACAGAGGGUUUUGAUGGUGAUGCAGAGGAAAUAGUUUCGGAAAGUGAGGAUAACAUUUCAGAGUCUGACACCGAGUUUGAAGAGGAGGAUGAGCAUCAGCCAGCUCCGAAACGUAAAAGAGCCUCAGGACUAGCCCUUCAGCAGCCAGGACAAGCCUGCGAGCAGCAAGCCCCAGGACCAUCCCGUGAGCAGCCAGGACCAGCCCGCGAGCAGCCAACCCCAGGACCAACCCGCAAGUAGCCAGCCCCAGGACCAUCCCGCAAGCAGCCAGCCCCAGGACCAACCCGUGAGCAGCCAGAUGUAGGACCAGCCCGUCAGUCAAAAAGAAACGCUGUGAAGUGUGUGGACCCAUGAUGGACAGAAAAACACAAUAUACAUGCAACCAGUGCAAAAAAAGACAUAUGCAAUACACACACAGUGAGACUCUGCCCCUCAUGUGUGGUAUGGUCUGAUAUAAGUAUAACGGCCUUGUUCAAAGGCUUUAAUGUGUUGUUCAGACAGAUGUUAUUGAGUAUGUUUCAAUUUCUAAUGAUGUUGAUUAUUUCACAGUUAUGCCUGUUUUAUGAGACAUUUCCUUAUUUUGUUGCAUUUUAAUACAAAAAGAAUCAAAAACGAGUGGCACCUCUAUUCAUAAAUGUGAUUUAACAAAGGUAAAGUGAACAAAUUUAACAUAUGUGUUGUUUAUAUUACUUGUAAUUGGGAUGAAGUAACCAUCUGGUGAGUAUUUAAAAAAAAAAGCUUGAGUAUGUUGAAUUAAAAGGCAAUGGGUCCACCAGACCCAGCAGCACCUCCUGUGUAACAAAAACACGCACACCCUAUGAGGGUUAAUAAUGUUUUAUUAAAGAUAAGUUAUAUUAAAUUUAAGUAAUAUGAACGUUUUUGUUUUGUUUAAAUAUCACAUAAUAGGAUUGCUUUGGUGGGCAAUAAAUAAGUAACAUAACAAUGUAAUUUUCUUAAUACAAUAUUUGUAGGCAGACAAUUUAAUGCUCAGACAAACAAUG